AGCCAUAUAGUCAAUUAAUGAUAUUAGACUGCAAUUCUGAAGGAGUAGUAUUAGAUUCUACUAAGGCUU
rnacentral:tRNA from 1 species